rnacentral:rRNA from 1 species
AGGGGAGUGAAAAAGAACCUGAAACCGUGUACGUACAAGCAGUGGGAGCACAGGUUUACCUGUGUGACUGCGUACCUUUUGUAUAAUGGGUCAGCGACUUAUAUUCUGUAGCAAGGUUAACCGAAUAGGGGAGCCGGAGGGAAACCGAGUCUUAAUUGGGCGUUAAGUUGCAGGGUAUAGACCCGAAACCCGGUGAUCUAGCCAUGGGCAGGUUGAAGGUUGGGUAACACUAACUGGAGGACCGAACCGACUAAUGUUGAAAAAUUAGCGGAUGACCUGUGGCUGGGGGUGAAAGGCCAAUCAAACCGGGAGAUAGCUGGUUCUCCCCGAAAGCUAUUUAGGUAGCGCCUCGUGAAUUCAUCUCCGGGGGUAGAGCACUGUUUCGGCUAGGGGGCCAUCCCGGCUUACCAACCCGAUGCAAACUGCGAAUACCGGAGAAUGUUAUCACGGGAGACACACGGCGGGUGCUAACGUCCGUCGUGAAGAGGGAAACAACCCAGACCGCCAGCUAAGGUCCCAAAGUCAUGGUUAAGUGGGAAACGAUGUGGGAAGGCCCAGACAGCCAGGAUGUUGGCUUAGAAGCAGCCAUCAUUUAAAGAAAGCGUAAUAGCUCACUGGUCGAGUCGGCCUGCGCGGAAGAUGUAACGGGGCUAAACCAU